AUGGGCAGGUGGGGCUUCAGCAGGAAGCGCAAGGAGAGGAAGUGGGGGAGCAGCCGCGGCCAUGAACCCGGCGACAAGGGUCCGACCCAGGGCCUCAGGCACCGCGCGUCGCCGGCGAGGAUCAUGAAGCUGUACCCGCACCUCACCGCCGGGCAGCGGGAGAUGAUAGAGGGCGCCGGUUUCGGGGGGCUGCUGCGGCUCCAGUGCCCCACCGUCCCCGCCAGGCUCUCCACCUGGCUCCUCCGGCGGUUCGACACCGAGUCCUCCGAGCUGGUCAUCCCCGGCCGGGGCAGGAUCCCCGUCACCGUCGACAGCGUGCACCGGGUGCUCGGCAUCCCCAAGACCGGCCGCGACGUCGUGUACGGGCUGGACGACGAGAGCAUCGCCUCCGUGCUGGACAAGCACGGCGUCGACAGGCCGCCCUCCAUGGCGAGCCUGGAGAAGUCCAUCAAGCUGAUGAAGUCGGCGGACGAGCACUUCCUCCGGACCUUCGUAAUGCUCGUGCUCUCGUCCUUCCUCUGCCCGACCAGCAGCCUGAAGGUCAGCCCCCGGUGCUUCCCCGCGCUGGUGAACAUCGGGUCCAUCAGGGAGCUCAACUGGUGCAAAUUCGUUGUGGAGCAGCUCGAGAAGUGCGUCUCUUCCCUCGGCAAGAAGAACAGCGCAGGGGGUUGCCUCUUCUAUCUCGUGAUUCUGUACCUAGACUCGCUUGAUGUCCGUGGCAUGGAGAUACCUCACGGCACGCCGAGAGUAUCUGCGUGGGACAGGAAGCUGAUGGAUAAAAUCAUCGAGAUGGACAUGAAGAACAAUGGAUCUUUCGGAAAAUGCUUUUUGAAAAGGGAAGCCACUCGCAAGAUCAUUUCCAGGGGCGCAUCAAGUUCAAGUGCGUCUGUCCUGCUUGGCGACGUCUCGGCGAUAGCAAAUUUUGUGUCAUCAAAUGUCCUACCGGAGUACUGUCCACAGAAGAAGGAGGUCUUAUGCAAGGCUGCGGGUAAUCUUUGUGCAAGCAUCACGGACGCGCUCGCCAAGUUCAUGCGUGAAGUCUCUGGACUUGAAGGCUGCAGCGGAGAAGCCAGCAAAAAUGGCACUGAACUUGCAGUGAGAGAAGAUAACAAUGUGGAGAAUGAUGGUGACGAGAUGGAUGUUGACACGCUCCUAGAUGAUACUUCAGAGCUGGCAACUAAGGACAUGGAAGACACGUCGGUCGACGAGCAUGAAGAUGGAAGUUCCGGGGAGGGCGAGGAAGGUGUUUCGAGCAGUGCGGACUCUGAAGAUGAUCCUGACUGGGAAGGUUACAGAGCCACGCGGACUCAUUCUCGACAAAACAGCGUGACACGGAAUAGCAGCAACAGCAAAGAGACUGGGGAUGGAAAAAAUAAACCUAGAGAUGUAACAACCACUGGUUCAGGAAAUGAUGAUUCCAAUAUUCCAGAUGGAAACAAUGAUGGAGUGAACCAAUGCAGCAAAGAACAUGAAAAUGUCGCAAAACCAACAUCGCCUAAUGUUCCUGAGGAUGUGAUGGUACCAACUUUGGUUGUGUCACCGGCAACGGAAGAACCUGGAGAUGUAGCAACCAAUGUCUCCGGAAAUGCUUCAGAUAAUCCGGAGGGAGAUCAAGGCAGAGUGAACCAGUGCAGCGAAGAAGAACAUGUAAACGUCGCAAAACUAAAUCCAUCCAGCGGUCAUGUGGAUGUGGUGAUACCAACUUCAGCUGUGUCACUGCCAAGUACUCCUAGCACACAACAGAAAAACAAUGAAAUGGAGUGUUCCGUUGAGGAUAAGAUGGCGAUCCAGCCUUCCAGCACGCCGUUGGGUGGAUCAUCUGUGAUGGCGUUGGAUGAUAAUGUGACCCCGUCAAAGGAAGACAAGAAAAUGGACAUGACUCCUGCUAUCAACUUUGUUGAAGGAACUCCUGUUGUUGAUUUGAGUACCCCGGAAAGUUCAGACAGCGAGUGCACGGUCGUAAGGACCGUAAGAAAACGUUCUCCUGUCAAUGGCCCGAAAACGCCCUCAUGA
rnacentral:rRNA from 1 species